rnacentral:rRNA from 1 species
GAUGAACGCUGGCGGCGUGCCUAAUACAUGCAAGUCGAGCGAACGGACGAGAAGCUUGCUUCUCUGAUGUUAGCGGCGGACGGGUGAGUAACACGUGGAUAACCUACCUAUAAGACUGGGAUAACUUCGGGAAACCGGAGCUAAUACCGGAUAAUAUUUUGAACCGCAUGGUUCAAAAGUGAAAGACGGUCUUGCUGUCACUUAUAGAUGGAUCCGCGCUGCAUUAGCUAGUUGGUAAGGUAACGGCUUACCAAGGCAACGAUGCAUAGCCGACCUGAGAGGGUGAUCGGCCACACUGGAACUGAGACACGGUCCAGACUCCUACGGGAGGCAGCAGUAGGGAAUCUUCCGCAAUGGGCGAAAGCCUGACGGAGCAACGCCGCGUGAGUGAUGAAGGUCUUCGGAUCGUAAAACUCUGUUAUUAGGGAAGAACAUAUGUGUAAGUAACUGUGCACAUCUUGACGGUACCUAAUCAGAAAGCCACGGCUAACUACGUGCCAGCAGCCGCGGUAAUACGUAGGUGGCAAGCGUUAUCCGGAAUUAUUGGGCGUAAAGCGCGCGUAGGCGGUUUUUUAAGUCUGAUGUGAAAGCCCACGGCUCAACCGUGGAGGGUCAUUGGAAACUGGAAAACUUGAGUGCAGAAGAGGAAAGUGGAAUUCCAUGUGUAGCGGUGAAAUGCGCAGAGAUAUGGAGGAACACCAGUGGCGAAGGCGACUUUCUGGUCUGUAACUGACGCUGAUGUGCGAAAGCGUGGGGAUCAAACAGGAUUAGAUACCCUGGUAGUCCACUCCGUAAACGAUGAGUGCUAAGUGUUAGGGGGUUUCCGCCCCUUAGUGCUGCAGCUAACGCAUUAAGCACUCCGCCUGGGGAGUACGACCGCAAGGUUGAAACUCAAAGGAAUUGACGGGGACCCGCACAAGCGGUGGAGCAUGUGGUUUAAUUCGAAGCAACGCGAAGAACCUUACCAAAUCUUGACAUCCUUUGACAACUCUAGAGAUAGAGCUUUCCCCUUCGGGGGACAAAGUGACAGGUGGUGCAUGGUUGUCGUCAGCUCGUGUCGUGAGAUGUUGGGUUAAGUCCCGCAACGAGCGCAACCCUUAAGCUUAGUUGCCAUCAUUAAGUUGGGCACUCUAAGUUGACUGCCGGUGACAAACCGGAGGAAGGUGGGGAUGACGUCAAAUCAUCAUGCCCCUUAUGAUUUGGGCUACACACGUGCUACAAUGGACAAUACAAAGGGCAGCGAAACCGCGAGGUCAAGCAAAUCCCAUAAAGUUGUUCUCAGUUCGGAUUGUAGUCUGCAACUCGACUACAUGAAGCUGGAAUCGCUAGUAAUCGUAGAUCAGCAUGCUACGGUGAAUACGUUCCCGGGUCU